rnacentral:rRNA from 1 species
UACGGGGGGGGCAAGCGUUGUUCGGAAUUACUGGGCGUAAAGGGUGCGCAGGCGGCCAAGUGUGUUAGGCGUGAAAGCCCGGGGCUUAACCCCGGAAUUGCACCUAAAACUACAUGGCUAGAGCAUUGGAGAGGGUAGCAGAAUUCACGGUGUAGCAGUGAAAUGCGUAGAUAUCGUGAGGAAUACCAGAGGCGAAGGCGGCUACCUGGACAAUUGCUGACGCUCAGGCACGAAAGCGUGGGGAGCAAAAGGG